rnacentral:RNase_P_RNA from 2 species
AGGCGCGGCAAGGCGGCCGCGCGCCGGUCCGAUGACCGGCGUGAGGAAAGUCCGAGCACGGGAGGACACGGUGGUGGGUAACACCCACCCGCUCGAACGAUGGGUAGAUCGGCUCUCCGAACCGAUUCCCGGGCAUCGGCAGGUCGGCACUCCGAGCCGAACGAGCCCGACGGAGAGCAUCGGCUCGGGGAGCCGAUCUACCCGGUGGUCGCGGGCGAGGGAAAGUGCAACAGAAAGUACACCGCCGAUGGCAUGUGGCACGGGCGUCUGGCCCGUGAAACCUGCACAGGCAAGGGUGAAAAGGUGCGGUAAGAGCGCACCGCCCGGAUGGCGACACCCGGGGCACGGCAAACCCCACCGCGUGCAAGCCCAAGCAGAGUCCGCGGGUGGCCCCGCCUCUCCGAGGCGGGUUCCCUCCCGGCCGCUGGUCCGGCGGAUGGACUCGGGUAGGGUGCAGGGGAGCAUGGCUCCCCCACUCGCGACGGCGCGAGUGAGAGAAAUGGCCGCCCACGGCUGCGGGUAGGUCGGUUCUCCGAACCGGCCAUCGGCUCGGAGAGCCGAUCUACCCGGUUCUGCCCAGAGCCCCCGUCAAUGGCGGGCCGAACAAGCAGCCGGGACAGAACUCGGCUUACCAGCCGCGCCCGACC